UUUACCUCUUCCUUCCUCCCUUCUCCUUUUCUGUACUUUUUCCCGUUUUUCUCUUUCCUUCUUCCUUCCUUCCCAUUUUCUUUUUCCUUAUUUCUUUCUUUCCUUUUCUUCCUGGAAAGCUAAAAGAGAGGAAGGCAGCUGUGGAAGAUGCAGAACUGUCUAAUUCUGGGGAAUACUAUGCUAAGAGAACUAAGCCCUUGCUGAUUCUACCUGCCAGAAUCUCAGCUGCAAUUUCUCUCCUACAGAAUACCCACACAUAAAUUGAACUAACACAAGGAACAAAGACUUUGAAGAUUAAAUGUCAUGCUUACAAGUACUUUUUAAACAUUAUUUCAAGACAUAAUAUUAGGCAUUUGUGUGCCCAUGUCCUCUAAUGCUACACAUUCUCCAGAAAAUUGAAUAUGAGUAUAAUCAUGCCAAAGACCAGCAUUCUCUCUUCAAAGUUAGUCAGUCAAGGAAAGUGAAAAGUUCGACAGCUCACUGUUUUGCACAGCUUCUGUAAAGUGCCACGUUCUCUGCAAGAAUUUCUUAGAGUCUUAAAAUGAACUAUAGUCUUCUGUAUAAAACACGGAUGAAAUCUCUGCUAUCAAAAUAAAAAUGAAAACAAGUUCCUUUCAAAA